rnacentral:rRNA from 1 species
GUGCCAGCAGCCGCGGUAAUACGUAGGGGGCUAGCGUUGUCCGGAUUUAUUGGGCGUAAAGAGCGUGUAGGCGGCCAGAUAGGUCUGCUGUGAAAACUCGAGGCUCAACCUCGAGCUGUCGGCGGAAACCAUUUGGCUAGAGUCCGGAAGAGGAAAGUGGAAUUCCUGGUGUAGCGGUGAAAUGCGCAGAUAUCAGGAAGAACACCCGUGGCGAAGGCGGCUUUCUGGGACGGUACUGACGCUGAGACGCGAAAGCGUGGGGAGCGAACAGGAUUAGAUACCCCCGUAGUCC